AUGCGCAGCCCUCCCCUCCUGCUUCCUCCUCCUCUUCCUCCCGUCUCCUCCUCCCCUUCCUCCUGCCCUCUGCGCCCUGGGGCUUGUAGUUCCCGAGCCCCCGCGCACAUGGGGCGCGACUACAUUUCCCGAGGGACCCCCAAAUCUUUUUCCUCCUCCUCCUCCUCUUCCUCCUCCUCCUCGUGUCCCGCUCCGGCGGCAGCGGGCCGGCCCCGCCGCCCCCAUGCCCGCUGCCCCACAGGUACGGCCGGGCACCCCCAUCGCCAUCGCGCACCCCAAAUCCCCCCCGGCGUCCUGAGGAGCUCCCCUGCCCCGAGGGAGCGCCCCAAAGGGAUUCCCUGGGCGGGGGGCUUUUUGGGGGGCUUUCCCCUCUCCCCUUGCGCAGGUCCCCCCGCGCCGUGCCCCCCGGGGUGUCCCUUGGCCAAGGUCACCAGGCGAUGCGUCCUGCUGGCCCUGGCACCGCUUGGCUCUGGGGAGGGCUCCGGGGGGCUGCCGGGGGCAUCCCGCGGGGAUGGAGGGAUGGAGCUGGGGCUGGGGACCCCCGUGUGUCCUGCCAGCCCCUUGGGGACAGUGACACAGCUGCCAGGGGACCACUCAGACAGAGCUCAGCCCCCUCGCGGAGCACCUGCUCCUGGUGGGAAGCAGCCCCCCGGGGUGGGCACCAACUGGAAACUGUGCUCGGCCACAUCGGCAGCCCAGCGCCGUGACGAGCCCGAGCCGGGGCAGAGUCCAGGCUGGCCGGGCACUGGGGACACGGGGCGGGCGCUGCGGGGGGUUCGCUGCCUGCCCCUUGCCCUGCCCGGCCCCGUCCUGCUGAGCGCAGCGUGGCACGGCUGCUGGGUGCUGGGUGCUGGGUGCUGGGCUCGGGGGGCCGGGUGGGCCGUAGGAAACAGCGCUGAUCCCUCGAGGAAUGGCAGGCGUGCCGGGGCAGGCGAGGGCUUGUCGUGCCGCCGGCUUGGUUUUCCUAAUUCUGCGUCCGCUUCGGAUCCACGCCGUCCCCCGGGCUCCGCGUGCGCCCGUGUGAGAGGAACGCGGCCGACGGGCGAGUCCCGGUGCCGACCUCUCCAUCGGGGCUGGCACGGGCUGGGACGUGCUUCGGACCCACAGGCAUUUGGGGACGGGGCGUUUGAGCAACCAUGACCGGGCGUUCCACAAUCCAUGGGUCAGCAGGUUUGUAGACCUUGGUCUGGCAGCGUGGAUUCACGCCCGUGGGUUUUAUCGCUCGCCGCGUGCCGCCGGGGAGGGCACCGGGGCGUGGGGCACAGCGUCUGCUGCGGGGGCGAGGAAGGGGCUGGGAGCCUGUGGGCCCCUCUCCUCUUUCGGUUUUGCGCAUCCCCUCCCUCGUUCGGGUUUGAAAGGCCGGAAGGAAGGGAACCACGGGUGUUCUUGGUGAAGAUGAAUAGGUAGCAAAACCCCGCCGCCUAGGAAGACAAAAGCAGGCAGGGAAAGGGCAUUUUGGGGUCAGGGGUGUUAGAGGAGGGGAGUGGGGAGCUGUAGGGCCACAUGGGGUGGAACGAGU
rnacentral:lncRNA from 1 species